CCAAAGAAGCUGUGUUUAUUAUUAAGCUGCAGAUCUGACCGGCAUUUCUAGAAGAAUGGAUCGUUUUCUCAAGAGGAUUGUUGAUCGUAGCCGUGUGUCUGGCUGUCAGUGUCCCUGUCGUGACAGGUCUCCAGUGCCUUUCCUGUCAGUACAUCAAAUUAGAGUCAUCGGACAAAAUCGUGGAAGCAGCUUUAUCCAAUUUGAUAUCACAAUCUGACGACGAAUGCCAGGGAAGUGUGAGCGAAGCCACCCCAGGGGUCACUGUUCAAAACUGCUCGUCUGUGACAGGACUGAAGGCGAUGUGUAGAAAACUGGACACCACGGUUUAUGCCUCUGUCUUAUCAUUUGACGUGACAAUUGAUGUCGUUUCCCGUGGAUGUGUUCGAGAAGCCUUGGAUCAAACGGAUGCCUGUGAGGAGGUCGAUGAUGGAGAGAAAAGUGGAAUAACGAGUAUAUUUGGUUCUCUAGCGACUGUAUCAUCCGUAGAGGGUACAUCCUGCAGAUGCUCCACUGACCAAUGUAAUGGCCAGGUCCAUGAUGGAGACAAAAGUGGAAUAACGAGCUCCACUGACCAACGUAAUGGCCAGCAGAAGGUCGCCGUUGAGAAACUGUGCUGGGUGGCUGGGCUCCUUUUGGCAUUCUGUGUUCACCACCUUUGUUGAAUACGGACGAACAUUUAAAAUAUAGCUAGAGUGAACCGAUUGGCAUUGGCUAAAACUAAAAUUCACCUAGCGGAACCAGAGCUAGAUUUCUUUGACAGCCAACUUAUUAAACAUUUAAUAUAAAUAUUUUGGUUAUUUUAAUGAAAAAGUCACCGGAAAUUCGAAAUUAGAUUCACGAUGUCAACGUGAUAACGGUAUAUAUGAAAGUAUUGCACUUAUGAUUUUUCAUAAGUUUUUUUCGCACAGUUAAAUUUCUGCUUUGAAAAGUUUUUUUAGGUAUUAUGUAUUUUUUAGACAUUGGUCUAAAUACUAAACUUGUCACAUUGGCUUCGAUUAAGAUUUUUCUUGGCAUCAAAUUAAAAUUAACAUCGAUUACGCUUGAGAAGGGUUAGAUAAUCGUUAAAUAUUAUAAGAAAUUUUCAUGAAUGGUUCUCGGUGGAAUAAUAUAAAGUAAUACGUGUGGCUAUAUUUGUGGAACGAGCCAUAAAGCUCCUAAUGAAAAGUUGUAUAUACCUAUAAAUAUAUAGCAGGGGCCAGCAGCUAUAAGGAUAAAUCUCCACUUCACGUCCAUGCUUUACUCCUUUGUGUGUUGUGCUUCUAAGGUUUUUUUCUUUCAAUAAAACUUCUCAUAA